rnacentral:rRNA from 1 species
GACGAACGCUGGCGGCGUGCUUAACACAUGCAAGUCGAACGGAAAGGCCUGCUUUCCCUUGUGGAUUGCGGGUACUCGAGUGGCGAACGGGUGAGUAACACGUGAGUGAUCUGCCCCCAACUUGGGUAUAAGCCUGGGAAACUGGGUCUAAUUCCCGAUAGGACUGCAGGGUGGUGCCUGUGGUGGAAAACGAUUUUCUAGUGGUGGGGAUGAGCUCGCGGCCUAUCAGCUUGUUGGUGGGGUAAUGGCCUACCAAGGCGGCGACGGGUAGCCGGCCUGAGAGGGUGGACGGCCACAUUGGGACUGAGAUACGGCCCAGACUCCUACGGGAGGCAGCAGUGGGGAAUAUUGCACAAUGGGCGGAAGCCUGAUGCAGCGACGCCGCGUGGGGGAUGACGGCCUUCGGGUUGUAAACUCCUUUCGACCGCGAGGAAGCCACCUGGUUGGAAGGGUGGUGACGGUAGUGGUAGAAGAAGCACCGGCUAACUACGUG